UACGACUACAUAUCAGGCAUAUCAAUAAGCGGAGGAAAAGAAACUAACAAGGAUUCCCUUAGUAACGGCGAGUGAAGCGGGAAGAGCUCAAAUUUGAAAUCUUCAAGGUUUUACCUUGACGAAUUGUAGUUUAAAGAAGUGUUUUCUGUUGAAGUUUUGGUAAAAGUUCUUUGGAAUAGGACAUCAUAGAGGGUGAGAAUCCCGUAUUUGACCAUUAUUUUCAGCUGUGUGAUACACUUUCAAAGAGUCGGAUUGCUUGGGAAUGCAGUCCAAAAUGGGUGGUAAAUUCAUCUAAAGCUAAAUAUUGGCGAGAGACCGAUAGCGAACAAGUACCGUGAGGGAAAGAUGAAAAGAACUUUGAAAAGAGAGUUAAACAGUACGUGAAAUUGUCAAAAGGGAAGCGUUUGACACCAGUGUUGUUUUCUCGAAAAUCAAUUAAAAAAAGUUGGAUUUCGUGUUGUAUUGACCUUAACAGCUUGCUUCACUCUUUUCCAGCUUUUUUUAAUGCACUUUUCGUUUAACAAGUCAACAUCAGUUUCUUUUGUUGUAAAAGGGUCAUUGGAAGGUGGCUUUCUCUUCGGAGAAAGUGUUUAUAGCCUUUGAUCUCUGCAAUCGGAGAGACUGAGGUCUGCAGCGUAGAUCCUUCGGGGUUAGAUACAUUUGUGCUAAGCUACAGCUUUUCAUAGACAACUUGUUGACUAUGUUUAGUCUUGUGACUUACCCGCUUAUGCUAUUUUACCUACGCUUAGGAUGUUGAGCGCAUGUCUCUCUCU
rnacentral:rRNA from 1 species